rnacentral:rRNA from 1 species
UGCCUUUAGAUUAAUUAUUAAAGGUUCAUCCUGCCCAGUGAUUUUUUUCUUCAACGGCCGCGGUACCCUGACCGUGCAAAGGUAGCAUAAUCAUUUGCCUUUUAAUUGAAGGCUAGAAUGAAUGGACAAACAAAGUUAAACCUGUCUCUUUUUUUACUUUAUAAAUUAAAUUUCAGGUGAAGAUGCCUGAAUUUCACUAAAAGACAAGAAGACCCCGUAGAGUUUUAAUCCAAACCUAUCUUCUUUAUUUCUACGAUUUUGGUUGGGGCGACCAAGGAUUAAAUAAAACAUCCUUUAUUUUUUCGAUUUAUUUAUCUUUCUUUUGACCCUAAAUUUUAGAGUUCCAGAAUAAACUACCUCGGGGAUAACAGGCUUAUCUUCCUUGAGAGCUCAAAUUGAUAGGAAGGUCUGGCACCUCGAUGUUGGCUUAGAAUACCUUAAAAAUGCAAAAAUUUUUAUAAGUCAGUUUGUUCAACUGUUAAAAUUCU